rnacentral:rRNA from 1 species
AGUGAACGCUGGCGGUAGGCCUAACACAUGCAAGUCGAACGGCAGCACAGUAAGAGCUUGCUCUUACGGGUGGCGAGUGGCGGACGGGUGAGGAAUACAUCGGAAUCUACUUUUUCGUGGGGGAUAACGUAGGGAAACUUACGCUAAUACCGCAUACGACCUACGGGUGAAAGCAGGGGAUCUUCGGACCUUGCGCGAUUGAAUGAGCCGAUGUCGGAUUAGCUAGUUGGCGGGGUAAAGGCCCACCAAGGCGACGAUCCGUAGCUGGUCUGAGAGGAUGAUCGCCCACACUGGAGCUUGAACACGGUCCAGGCUCCUACGGGACGCAGCAGUGGGGAAUAUUGGACAGUGGGCGCAAGCCUUAUCCAGCCAUACCGCGUGGGUGAAGAAGGCCUUCGGGUUGUAAAGCCCUUUUGUUGGGAGAGAAAAGCAGCAGGUUAAUACCCCGCUGUUCUGACGGUACCCAAAGAAUAAGCACCGGCUAACUUCGUG